rnacentral:rRNA from 1 species
GAUGAACGCUGGCGGCGUGCCUAAUACAUGCAAGUCGAGCGAACAGAUGAGGAGCUUGCUCCUCUGACGUUAGCGGCGGACGGGUGAGUAAAACGUGGAUAACCUACCUAUAAGACUGGGAUAACUUCGGGAAACCGGAGCUAAUACCGGAUAAUAUAUUGAACCGCAUGGUUCAAUAGUGAAAGACGGUUUUGCUGUCACUUAUAGAUGGAUCCGCGCCGCAUUAGCUAGUUGGUAAGGUAACGGCUUACCAAGGCAACGAUGCGUAGCCGACCUGAGAGGGUGAUCGGCCACACUGGAACUGAGACACGGUCCAGACGCCUACGGGAGGCAGCAGUAGGGAAUCGUCCGCAAAGGGCGAAAGCCUGACGGAGCAACGCCGCGUGAGUGAUGAAGGUCUUCGGAUCGUAAAACUCUGUUAUUAGGGAAGAACAAAUGUGUAAGUAACUAUGCACGUCUUGACGGUACCUAAUCAGAAAGCCACGGCUAACUACGUG